GACGAACGCUGGCGGCACGCCUAACACAUGCAAGUCGAACGGAGUUAAUUGGAGCUUGCUUUGAUUAACUUAGUGGCGGACGGGUGAGUAACACGUGAGCAACCUGCCUUUAAGAGAGGAAUAACAGUCUGAAAAGACUGCUAAUACCUCAUAACAUAACGAAGCCGCAUGACUCUGUUAUCAAAGAUUUAUCGCUUAAAGAUGGGCUCGCGUCUGAUUAGCUUGUUGGUGAGGUAACGGCCCACCAAGGCGACGAUCAGUAGCCGUACUGAGAGGUAGAUCGGCCACAUUGGGACUGAGACACGGCCCAGACUCCUACGGGAGGCAGCAGUGGGGUAUAUUGCACAAUGGAGGAAACUCUGAUGCAGCGAUGCCGCGUGAGGGAAGAAGGUUUUCGGAUUGUAAACCUCUGUCUUCAGGGACGAUAAUGACGGUACCUGAGGAGGAAGCUCCGGCUAACUACGUGCCAGCCGCCGCCGUAA
rnacentral:rRNA from 1 species